rnacentral:rRNA from 1 species
UACGAAGGGGGCUAGCGUUGUUCGGAAUUACUGGGCGUAAAGGGCGCGUAGGCGGUGUGUCAAGUCAGAUGUGAAAUCCCCGGGCUCAACCUGGGAACUGCAUUUGUGACUGCAUCGCUGGAGUACGGCAGAGGGGGAUGGAAUUCCGCGUGUAGCAGUGAAAUGCGUAGAUAUGCGGAGGAACACCGAUGGCGAAGGCAAUCCCCUGGGCCUGCACUGACGCUCAUGCACGAAAGCGUGGGGAGCAAACAGG